GCCCGGCUAGCUCAAUCAGUAGAGCAUGAGACUCUUAAUCUCAGGGUCGCGGGUUCAGCCCCACAUUGGGUG
rnacentral:tRNA from 1 species